GCACAGCACCGAGCGACCCGCCACGGCCGAAGCUAGCAAACGUGGCUACUAGAAGCUACAGCUAACAAGUUACUUCCUGCGUCCUGGCAACCCGGUUGCUAGGUGUGGUGACUGCUGAUGUUCCGCUGGAUCCUGUUCGUUUCUGUCUAAAGAGCUCAGUUACUUUCUAUAUAGCAGUAACACUGACAGAGUUGGAGAACUGAAAUAAGUCGAAACCACCAAAGAGCGGCUUUCACAUGGAGCUUGUCUCCGUUUCAUUUCCUUCUCAGAGGUCACAUUGUAAUGAAUUACCUGUGCCACCACUCCUGGGGUGGAGCAGCCAGAUGCUGGUGGAAAUGAGAGAGGGGACUGUGCGUCUGGUGUGCACACAAGAGUGAGGACGCUAGUCUGGUGGAGGAUGUUUCUAAUGAGAGGCUCGCAGGCGUCACUUCCGCCGCUGCCUGAGGAAGGUGUGCCGUGCAAGCGUUCUAAUGCGGACCACCACAGAGACCCUUUUUGUUAAGUGUUACUGGAUCAUUUGGCCUGCGCUUACACCCUACAGCCACAAAUCCAAUCACAACUAGCAUGUAGUAAUUUAAAUUUCACUGAAAAAAAAUCACACAACAUACACACACAGUGAAAAAAAAAUUGAAAAGUCCUACCUUCAACAUCCAAAAAUGCACUUGACUUAUGCUUACCGUUUUUUUCAAAGCAUUUAGUAACUUUUUGUUAAUAACCUAUGACCUCCAGUUUGUCUGGUGUGGAGUGCGUAUGACUUGACAAGCAGGAUUAUUUUCUAUAACCUCUCAAAAUGGGAAAGACAUGAGAACCUUCCAUUCAAAUACCAAAUGUAUUAUUAAAAGGCCAAAAGAAAAAAUAAACAAAAAACGAAUCUACACCUCAGCUCACUGUGAGCGAUUUAUUUCAAGGCGUUUGCAUGCGCGUUUGCAAAGGGUGACGAUAAUUGUUAAGGGGACAGGAUGCCAUCAGGUAGAACAGAAAACACAAACAGAAAGUCAUCGAAGUGGUGCAAAAAGAACCAGUCAAAAUUUAGAUAAAACUGGGACAAUUAUGGUUGAGGCCAGAUAGGAACAAUCAUUAAUAUCGCUUCGUUAAGCCCUCGUGCACGAAUUGAUUGUCAAGUGCGAAUGGCCCGUAAAUGUUUGCGAUAAAUAAUAAAAAUCUGCUUUAGAUUAAAAUAGCUGCUCUGUUGGGUGUCAUUAUAUUUUUUCUUUAUGUAAGCCCUACAACAUCGGCACAUAUGUGUAGACAUAAGUACAGAUUACACUGACUUACACUAACUCUUUGUUUCCCAGAAGCCUUCUAAUCGUUGCCCACCAUGGUGGACCACCUGUGUAGUUUGAUUAGAGGGGUUCCCAUCUCCAAUUGAGGCACCUUCCUCCUGAUCCUUGACUCAUGGUGGCCCUAAAAGAACACUAGAGGCUGUGGGGGAGGGGGAUGUGGUCCCUGCAGGCCUUCUUUUGCAGUCCCCACCUGAGGCUUUUGUGAUUUACGGUGUGUGGGAACGGACCGAUCCACUGCUGUUUGAGCUGGCCGCCAAUCCACAGCUUGAGACUCAUUAGGGAUUUUUGGAGGGAUUUCUUGUGCACUCUUGCACACACGCAUGCCAUUACUGCAAAGCUCUGAGCAGUCUCAGGGUUGCCUCUGGCUUUUGGCAUGGGACUAGUGUCAUAAUGAAUGCGUGCCUCCAACUCUUUGUUUUCAUGACAUCGUUGGAAAGUAGAGUAAAAUGUGCUGUCCUUCACACCAGGGAUAAAUCCACGAUUAAUGAAACGCUUGCACAUGGCCUUCAGAGAACCAUCUGUAGUCUUAGGUUAAGACCUGUAUAGUUUCAAGAAACUACAAUUAGAAAUUUUAAAGUUCUUCAACGCCAGCACUAACAUUGCUUUAAUAAUGGCCUCAAAAAACUUGUACGUGCUAAUAGACAGAUGAAGGUUUUCUUUUUUCUCUCAAAAGCUGGGUUCAAUCCCAGUCGCUAAAUCCUGGCAGGAUUACUAUUUUAACUGGUAUUAUCAAGAAAUCACUUAAAUAGCGUAAAAGAUUCAAAAACAAAAAUUUAAAAAAGCAACACCACAUGUCCCCAUUUGAAAACAAAAAUGCAGGAACAGAUGGGAAGCAAAGUGUGGAAAGAGUUACAAAACCAUUUCUAAGUCUUUGGGACUCAAACCCACAGUGAGAGCCAUUAUCCACAAAUGGAUCGUCCCAAGGACACACAUCCAGCAGGUCACAAAAAAACACAAUACAGGGCAAAAAAGGAUUUCCAUUGAAGAGCCCAAAGGCAAAAAAAAAAAACUACUGCUAAUCAAAAAUAAUGCAAAGGCCCUUCUCACACUUCCUCUAAAAAGAAUCUUAAUGAUGCCAACGACCAUUGGUCUAAUGCGGCCUAAUAUUCUGUGGAUUUUGUGGAACUUUUGAAAUGUAUGAAUUCCAUUAAAUCUGGUGAAAAACUAUCAAAAUUCCAGAUAAAAAAGAGCAUUUUACUGACAACUUGACACGUGGUUGUGGUAAUUUGAUGGUCUGGGAGUGCUUUGCUGCUUCAGCUUCUCAGUGACUUGCUAUAAUGGAUCAGAGCAUGAUUACAUUUGUGGCCAGAAGAUCCCGAAGAAGAACAUUCAUCAAUCAGAUCAUGACAUUAAGCUCAAGCAUGGAUAACAGUCUGAAACAAUACCAAAACUAAAUGCCUCAUAAAAAUGUUUUAAAAACUAAAUGAAGAUUUGAGUGUCCUAGUCAAUGUAUUGAUAUUAUGUACCGUAAUAUGAUCCUCAGCAGCCUAGCUGAGGAUUUGAAAAAAAAUAUAUAUAUUACUACACAAUUUGGCAAACUAAGGCAAUUCUGCCGAAAAGAGUGAUUUAAUUACAACCUCUUCACACAAAACCUUUAAUUAGUUUUUUUUUCUCUCAUUGCAACUGUCAGUACAGUGAGAGAAAAUGAUUCCAACAUUAAACAAAACUUGCAGUGUUAUUAAUGUUAUAAUUUAUUCGAUGAUAAUAGUUUAAAAAUCAAUGGCCUAAUAAAUGGCUCCUGGUAAAUGAGCUGGAUUAAACCAAGCAAUGGACUGAGCCCCAUGGGGCUGAGCAGUCUUUCACAGCAACACUGUCAGAGACGCGAGCAGGGAGGCUCAGCUGGGAAGUGGUACAAAGUGUUGUUUUAUGGGCUGUCUUUCUUCUCCCAUAACAGAGGGAAGAGUGAUUGAAGUCAGUCACGCUUUCACCUCAGGGUGUGGAGAUUGGCUAUUGUUGUACAUUUAGCACCACCGAGCAGGAUGGAUGUGUGGAGCUGAGAAAGCGAAAACAUACAAUGUGUGGAGUGUAUGCGCAUAUGUGUGCAAUUUGGUUUCUGCAGGGCAGCAUUUUAAGGACCUAGAAAUAGUGAGAUGUCAUUUACUUGAUGUUCUGUAAUAAAAUUGUGUUGCUACAAGGGGAACAGAGAAGACUUUAUAGUUAGGCCACGAAGUCUGUCGCUUUAAAAAAUUGGUGAAUUGUGUUUCUGAAUGUUCUGAAAACACCUCGGUGUGCAUUAUUUUAUAUACGCAACAGUCUGUCAAUCUAAAGAGGCUGGAUUCUCUCACUAAUACUUUAAAUACCCAUAACAGAGGAAAUAUAGUGAGUUUGUUUUAUACUUGGAAAUCCAAGUUUACAAGGUAGAAUUCAGAAAAAAAAAAUUUUCAUUAUGGUCAUGGUCUUGACUGGGAAGGUGGGAGUUUGCCUAUUAGUCCUGUGUUGAGUAUUCACUCUGGCUUUCUGUUUAAACUAUUUGUUAGCGCUUCUGAUUGUCCAUAUAUUACUCCAGUCUCACACUUAUGGCUGCACACAUAGAACUAAGUGAAAACUGCUGGCAAGAAAAACUAUAAACAAAGCACUUCUGACCAAUUGCAUCUCAUUAAACAAAUGACACUGUGAAAUAUCUUAAAAUGGAGAGACGUACUGUCAUUAUCUUGCAUUGGUUAUAGUAGUUUAUACCAAAACAAAUCGUCCCUCACAUUGAUUGCAGACAUGUUAAAGUGGUGUGUUGUCUUUGCAUCUCAAUAAUGGAUUGCAUAUAGAUUGUAGGGAAUGUACUGAAGUGAUGGCCCACAUAGAGCUGUUAUUUAUUGGUUAUUUAUGUGUUUUUUGUGUGUUUGAACACAGAAAAUGGAGAGAAAUUCACUUUUAUCACCUGGUGUUGAUAAUUGUAGUCAAUACCAAAAUGAUUAGCAAUCCAUCUGUUUUGUAACUUUGUAACUGUUUUGUAACUUGGACAUUUGAGCUGGGAAUGCCAUCACAUGAGUUGGGAGCAGUUUGAUCAUGAAAGGUGACUUCGGAUCAGAAUAGUUUCAAUUCUAAAUGCUAUUCCCAAUACAAACCAAUGCUAUGUUUAUUUCUGUUCUAUGCUUUCAUACACAAAACAGAACAUGAUUACACAUACUCGUUCAACAAAGGUCUUAGUCUAGAACAGGGGUCACCAACUCCAGUCCUCAAGGGCUAC